rnacentral:rRNA from 1 species
CCUACGGGGCGCAGCAGUAGGGAAUUUUCGUCAGUGGGCGCAAGCCUGAACGAGCAAUGCCGCGUGAACGAGGAAGGUCUUCGGAUCGUAAAGUUCUGUUGAAGGGGAAAAAGAGCGGAGAGAGGAAAUGGUCUCCGAUUGAUAUUACCCUUCGAGGAAGUCACGGCUAACUACGUGCCAGCAGCCGCGGUAAUACGUAGGUGGCAAGCGUUGUUCGGAAUGACUGGGCGUAAAGGGUGUGUAGGCGGUGUAGCAAGUUAGAAGUGAAAUACCUAGAGCUUAACUCAGGUGCUGCUUCUAAAACU